UACGUAGGGGGGCUAGCGUUGUCCGGAAUCAUUGGGCGUAAAGCGCGUGUAGGCGGUCCGGUAAGUCCGCUGUGAAAGUCGGGGGCUCAACCCUCGGAUGCCGGUGGAUACUGUCGGGCUUGAGUACGGAAGAGGCGAGUGGAAUUCCUGGUGUAGCGGUGAAAUGCGCAGAUAUCAGGAGGAACACCAAUUGCGAAGGCAGCUCGCUGGGACGUUAACUGACGCUGAGACGCGAAAGCGUGGGGAGCAAACAGG
rnacentral:rRNA from 1 species